UAGUUCAGCUGGUUAGAA
rnacentral:misc_RNA from 1 species